rnacentral:rRNA from 1 species
UACGGAGGGGUGCGAGCGUUUGUCCGGAAUCACUGGGCGUAAAGGGCGCGUAGGUGGUGGCUUAAGCGUGCGGUGAAAGCUCGGAGCUCAACUCCGAGUCGGCCGUGCGAACUGGGCUCACUGGAGCAUAGUAGAGGCAGGUGGAAUUCCGGGUGUAGCGGUGGAAUGCGUAGAGAUCCGGAAGAACACCGAUGCGAAGGCGCAGCUGGCUACCUACG